ACCAGACUCCUACGGGAGGCAGCAGUGAGGAAUAUUGGUCAAUGGCCGGAAGGCUGAACCAGCCAAGCCGCGUGAAGGACGAAGGUGCCAAGCAUUGUAAACUUCUUUUGUCAAGGGACAAAAUCAGGCUCGAGAGCCUGACCGAGGGUACUUGAAGAAAAAGCAUCGGCUAACUCCGUGCCAGCAGCCGCGGUAAUACGGAGGAUGCGAGCGUUAUCCGGAUUUACUGGGUGUAAAGGGAGCGCAGGCGGCGCGUUAAGCCUGGUGUGAAAGCCCGCGGCCCAACCGCGGGACUGCAUUGGGAACUGGCGCGCUGGAGUGCCGGAGGGGUAGGCGGAAUUCCUAGUGUAGCGGUGAAAUGCGUAGAUAUUAGGAGGAACACCAGUGGCGAAGGCGGCCUACUGGACGGUGACUGACGCUGAGGCUCGAAAGCGUGGGGAGCAAACAGGAUUAGAUACCCCCGUA
rnacentral:rRNA from 1 species